GAUGAAUGUUAGCACUUGUCAAUUACCUUAUGUAUUGUCUAGUCUCUUCUUUUCGCUAAUUACCGCUGUGUUAAAUAAUUAUAAUUGAAUUUUACCUAUAAAAAUAACAAAUAAUUUUCAAAAAGUCAUGCUUUUUUCGUUUUUAUUCAUUCCAAUAAAUUAAAAUUUAUGAUUCAUUACAAUUUCCGGGAAACUAAAUCGCUAAAAAAAAUUAAUGUUAGGAGGACUAUGAGACUUUUUGAAAUUCAGAUUAGAUACCGAAAUCAGACAAAACUCGGGUAUCUUGAAUGGUGACAAUCACGAUGAAACAAAUAUAUGAUGUUACUUCUCACUGGGUUGUACAAAAUUGGGUCGAUGAAUUGCGUAGUUUAGAGAGAGAAAAAGUACCGAAGACUGAAAAAGCGAGGAGAGGAAGGAAAUGGAAGCGAUAAAAUUUGAAGAAAAC